rnacentral:rRNA from 1 species
GAUGAACGCUGGCGGCGUGCCUAAUACAUGCAAGUCGAGCGAACGGACGAGAAGCUUGCUUCUCUGAUGUUAGCGGCGGACGGGUGAGUAACACGUGGAUAACCUACCUAUAAGACUGGGAUAACUUCGGGAAACCGGAGCUAAUACCGGAUAAUAUUUUGAACCGCAUGGUUCAAAAGUGAAAGACGGUCUUGCUGUCACUUAUAGAUGGAUCCGCGCUGCAUUAGCUAGUUGGUAAGGUAACGGCUUACCAAGGCAACGAUGCAUAGCCGACCUGAGAGGGUGAUAGGCCACACUGGAACUGAGACACGGUCCAGACUCCUACGGGAGGCAGCAGUAGGGAAUCUUCCGCAAUGGGCGAAAGCCUGACGGAGCAACGCCGCGUGAGUGAUGAAGGUCUUCGGAUCGUAAAACUCUGUUAUUAGGGAAGAACAUACGUGUAAGUAACUGUGCACAUCUUGACGGUACCUAAUCAGAAAGCCACGGCUAACUACGUG